UCCCUGGUGGCUCAGACGGUAAAGCGUCUGCCUGCAAUGCGGGAUACCCAGGUUCGAUCCCUGGGUCGGGAA
rfam:TPA: Bos taurus chromosome 2, whole genome shotgun sequence.